CUCUUCCUGUCACUGCAGACGGUCAGUAGUUGGUCUGGUGUGAGCAGCAAUUCUCAGAUCAUCUCUUGGCUAUGGAUGGUGGAGAGAG
rnacentral:pre_miRNA from 13 species